rnacentral:lncRNA from 1 species
UCCGGCAUUUUGGGCAACUCCGGCUUCUGGAUCUCCGGUACCUUAGGAGCCUCAAGCUUGGGAACUUCUGGCAACUUUGGCAACUCAGGUUUCUGAAUCUCCGGCAUCUUAGGUAACUCCGGCAUUUUGGGCAACUCCGGCUUCUGGAUCUCUGGUACCUUAGGAGCCUCAAGCUUGGGAACUUCUGGCAACUUUGGCAACUCAGGCUUUGGAAUCUCUGGCACCUUAGGAGCCUCAGGCUUUUCAGUCUCCAUUAGCUUAGGCACCUCAGGCUUUGAAUUCUCUGGAAACUUUGGCAAAUCAGGCUUUGGAAUCUCUGGAAACUUUGGUAAUUCAGGCUUUGGAAUCUCCGGCAUUUUUGGUAACUCGGGCUUCUGAAUCUCCGGUACCUUUGGUAACUCAGGUUUUGGAAUCUCUGGCAUCUUUGGGAGCUCAGGUUUUGGAAUUUCCGGAAACUUGGGCAAUUCAAGCUUGGGAAUAUCUGGCAGUUUAGUUUCCUCAGGCUUUGGAAUCUCCGGUACCUUUGGUAACUCUGGCUUUGGAAUCUCCGGGAUCUUUGGCAACUCAGGCUUUGGAAAUUCGGGUAACUUGGGCAACUCUGGUUUAGGGAACUCCGGCAACUUGGGAACUUCGAAUUUAGGUAGCUCAGGCAAUUUUGGUAUCUCCGGUUUAGGAUCCUCCAAUAACCGGCGAGCACCGACUGAAA